GUGAGCCCAGAGACCUGGCUGGGCUCUUCUUGUGCUGAGCAGAGUGUUUCCAACGUACCUCCAGGCUAAGUGACUGAGGCAGAGAAAAGCGUUGAGGGAAAACAGGUUCAGAAGUGGCUUAGCUACCCAGAAAUUCAAUGUCUUCCACUGGUGCUUGCGGGCUGGGAGCUGGGAAUUGACAGCAGGAACCCAGAGGACUGCUCAUGGCAGUUCACCAUCUCCCAUCUUGCUGCUCUGUAGGACCAAAGAGGGACACCCGGAGGGACUGCACACUGUGCAGGACCAUCUUUUAUUCAUGGCCGAGCGGCGCACACGCCGCUGCUUGCCGCCUUCUUGGGAUGCUGGCAUUAAUAUUUCAUCCUGGAGCCAGCUCGUGCUGAAGAGCUCAUGUCCCAGGAAACCCUUUUUUGGGGCCAGCUGCAAUGUUUACUCUCAAGGGUUCCUUGGGAAGAUAACAGUGGAAAAGCCACGCUCUGACAUGGUGGGUCUGGAAUGAAAAGUGAAGGUGUUCCUCUGCAAGCAUCAAAGCAGUUUCAACUUAACCAAAAAUGCUUCUCCUGGAUCACUGGGUCUUUAAAUCGAAAUACCUUCUCAAUAGAUGUAAUAAUGCUGGAGAAAAAGUGAUUGGAAAACAACUCCAUGUCCUCAGUGAUCCUUAUGGGUCCCUUCCAACAUGGGAUGUUCUGUGAUCUACAUGAGUUCCGUAGGAUGGAAGGGGAUGCUGCAUGUGGGAACGGAAGGAGGAACAGUUAUUUGCACAGCUCUUUGAGAUCCUUGAAGGAAAACCCUGGAGAGAUAUAAGGCAUGAAGCAACCACAGCCCCUCCCCAGAUCUGCUGAUAAACAUAGAGAACAGCUGGGACCACGAGCCAAUGGGGAAUCAAUCAUAGGGAUGGACGUAAGUAGAAUCAGAAUCAUGGAAUCGUUAAUGUUGGGAAAGACCCCGAUGAUCACCAAGUCCAACCAUCACCAUCAUGUCCACUCAUAGAAUCAUUAAGGUUGGAAAAGAUGCUCAAAGAUGACCAAAUCCAGCUGCCAACCCAAUGCAAACAGCCAGGAGAGUGUGACAGCGACCCAAGAACCCAGG
ensembl:lncRNA